UAAAACUUAAAUAAAACAUGCUAAAAACUAUAUGAAAAUAAUGCCAAAGAGCGUAUAGAAUAUCCACUCUUCACAACACCAAACUUAAACUAUUGCUUGUCCCCAAGCAACUAAAACAAAGUAGGAUUAAAAGAAGACUAAUAGUUUGAGAAG